CCUACGGGCGGCAGCAGUGGGGAAUAUUGCACAAUGGGCGCAAGCCUGAUGCAGCCAUGCCGCGUGUGUGAAGAAGGCCUUCGGGUUGUAAAGCACUUUCAGCGGGGAGGAAGGCGGUGAGGUUAAUAACCUCAUCGAUUGACGUUACCCGCCGAAGAAGCACCGGCUAACUCCGUGCCAGCAGCCGCGGUAAUACGGAGGGUGCAAGCGUUAAUCGGAAUUACUGGGCGUAAAGCGCACGCAGGCGGUCUGUCAAGUCGGAUGUGAAAUCCCCGGGCUCAACCUGGGAACUGCAUUCGAAACUGGCAGGCUAGAGUCUUGUAGAGGGGGGUAGAAUUCCAGGUGUAGCGGUGAAGUGCGUAGAGAUCUGGAGGAAUACCGGUGGCGAAGGCGGCCCCCUGGACAAAGACUGACGCUCACGUGCGAAAGCGUGGGGAGCAAACAGGAUUAGAUACCCUAGUAGUC
rnacentral:rRNA from 1 species